UUGAGUUGUUUGGAUGUGGGGGGUUUGCUGGCAUCUUAAAUGAUUCAGCUCCCCUGAAAUGCAUUAGCAGAACAACCUGUUCAUUGGCGUGAUAAUUAUCUAUGCUAUUGAAUGCGAGGGCAGUUCAGCUUUCUAACCGUCCUCGGACAAUUCAUCAUUAAUGUGACCUCAAAUCAGGUAGGACUACCCGCUGAACUUAA
rnacentral:misc_RNA from 1 species